rfam:Norovirus Hu/GII/Goulburn Valley G5175 B/1983/ATS nonstructural polyprotein (ORF1) gene, partial cds; and capsid (ORF2) and basic protein (ORF3) genes, complete cds.
UGGCCACCCGCACCACAUGCGGAAGAAUGAAUGUUGGAAUGGAGAGUCCU